GGUGUGAGCCACCGCACCCGGCCAAAACUCAAGUUUUUUAAGAGAGUGGGCAGGAAGAUCCAGCUCACCUUACUAGCCACUAGAGCUGAUUUAAAUGCUCCCUCUGUGGGUGGGCAUCAGCUGAAUUCAGCCUGGUUUUGCUUUCUACUUGUUGGUAGAAGAGCUGAGGCAGGACUGGCUUAUCUGUCAUAAUAUAAAAGAGUCUUGGAAGAUGUCUGGGGUCCAGGGUCUAAAACCCCUCGUGGCCUUUGGAACACCAAACUCUGUGCCAAGGGGUGGAAGGCUGCCCUGCCGCACCACAAAUCUAAGCCCAGGGCAUAAAACCCCUCAUGGCUUGGAUGGAAUCCAGGGCUUAGGGCAUAAAACCCCUCGUAGCCUCUGGAAUGUGCACAGACUUGUUGGUUGCUCUCCCAGGUUCGUAAACAUGUUCUCUAUUAUCUCCAAGCAGCAGAGCAUAUUAUAUAUGCAUCAAAGAAAAUGCUAAACCAUCACAGAUACGCUUGAUGCACCACUACCUUUCUAACCUCACACCCUCACCUGUUUACCCCUACGUCCUCAAGACCUGCUUCUUUGUUUGAUCACCAAUAAAUAAUGUGGGCUCCCAGAGCUCAGGGCCUUCGCAGCAUCCAUACCAGCGUUGGCCCCCUGGACCCACCUUAUGCACUCUUAACUUGUCUUUUCUCAUUCCUUUGACUACGCUGGAGUUUGUAGCCCCCACGGCCUGGUGUUGGGUCUGAUCACCCCAACAUUUCUGGCACCCAACGUGGGGCUACGAACACUCCGGUGAAGGAACACUAGAGUGUGCGGAAGCGGAGGACACAUUGUCAGAGGACACCCAAGGACGACUGAAAGAAGCUUGGUGGAAUUCAUAUAAAGUUGCGAGUUUCAGGUUGGUUGGCUCUGACUGAUCACCUGUAUUAUGGACCAUCUGUGUGAUUAUGGGGAAAAGUUCAGGACACCAGCAACCUACAUUGGAUAGGACCACCUCUGACUCCAGGGAUUGCCACUCAAUCUUUCUGAGAUUAGCACCCACAUCCAACAAGGUGUGAUCCUGGUGAUCUUUGAAAAAAAGGCACUGAAACAACCAUGAUUUAAGUUUUUGGUAUUAUGAAUGCAUGAGAAAUUUUCUGGGAAAAAAUCAUAACUAUAUUAAGAAUAAAAAAUAAAAAAUUCCUAAGGAAAAUACUUGAUCUUGUAUGCACAUAAUAUUGACUCAGAAUAUAUGAGGAUUAACUCAAUAAACUUAAAAACUUAAUCUGAAAAUCACUGGAUUAAGAAAAUGUGGCACAUAUACACCAUGGAAUACUAUGCGGCCAUAAAAAAG
rnacentral:lncRNA from 1 species